AUCAGAUGGCUAACAAAUGACUUGGCCAGAUGCCUUGACAUAUAGGGUUGUUGUAUUUCUGUUCCUGGAAUCACUAAGCAGUGUUGUAAAAAUCACAGGGAAACCAGUAAUAAGAUGUUGCCUUUGUACACAUGGCAGCUUGUGCACAUAUCCAUACUUCCCCUAGCCUGGCCAUGGUGUGUGAAGACAUGUUCCACUGCCAGCCAGCCUCUGAUGUCCCCCAAUUCCAGCUUCUUUUCCUGUAAUCUGAAGUGUUGGACUAAAGAUGUGCUCAGGGGAACAUUGUUCUUCUCCACAGCCUAUCUCUGAGCCCUCAGCUAGGUGUUUAAUUAGACGCAAGGAUGGAGGUCUUCACUCCACAGGACUAGAGAUCUGGACUGGAAGCCACAAGGAGCAAGCAAGGGUUUUCUUUCAGUUUCAGAUGCAGCACUGUAGAAUUCUCUCUGGAGUUCAUUUGUUUACUUCACAGUCUAUGCUGUGAGAGUUGGAACUGGGUCUGUGUCCCCGAUAUUGCAGGACCAGAUCCUAGAAGAGUGCGUGGUGUCGGAGGCAUUCAGCAGAUGUUUGAUGACACAAUGAAUAAGCAUGAGGAUGGAGCAAGA
ensembl:antisense 4930527B05Rik RIKEN cDNA 4930527B05 gene